rnacentral:rRNA from 1 species
AACGAACGCUGGCGGCAGGCUUAACACAUGCAAGUCGAGCGCAUCCUUCGGGGUGAGCGGCGGACGGGUGAGUAACGCGUGGGAACGUGCCCUCUUCUACGGAAUAGCCUCGGGAAACUGAGAGUAAUGCCGUAUACGCCCGCAAGGGGAAAGAUUUAUCGGAGGAGGAUCGGCCCGCGUUGGAUUAGGUAGUUGGUGGGGUAACGGCCUACCAAGCCGACGAUCCAUAGCUGGUUUGAGAGGAUGAUCAGCCACACUGGGACUGAGACACGGCCCAGACUCCUACGGGAGGCAGCAGUGGGGAAUCUUGGACAAUGGGGGCAACCCUGAUCCAGCCAUGCCGCGUGAUCGAUGAAGGCCUUAGGGUUGUAAAGAUCUUUCAGCUGGGAAGAUAAUGACGGUACCAGCAGAAGAAGCCCCGGCUAGCUCCGUG